GCUGUAGACUGGAUUUCAUGGAAACAAAGAAUGCUGGUUUGAUUCUUACAAUAUUGUUGUCCAACCUCUCAUUUUACAGCUGAGAAAAUAGAGGAUCAUGAGUGUCAAAUGACUUGUCUAAAUUUGUACAGCUUACUGGUGGCUUGAGUCCAGACUUAAAUGUAUGUUUCUGAUUACAAAUUCAUUACUUGGUUCUGACUAAAGGAUAUUCUUAGCUUCUCUCUUCUAUCUCUGUUCCUUCAACGACACCCAUCACUUUCCUCCUUCCAAACAUAUCAGAGGUCCUCUGAGAUCUUACAUUCUUUUUUUUUUUAACCUCUGGUGGUUGUUAUUAUUUUUCUAUCUGUGCAAGUAUGGAGAUAAAGAGAAUGAAACUUUAAGAAGCUAAAUGAAGAGUAUUGAAGUAUCAAUCAAAUGAAACAGUCAAAACUUUGCAAUUUCCCAACUUUCAUGAUCAGUGUUUAAAAAUGCAUAUGCAGAGUCCUGUGGAUAAUUAUGUGAUGUCUGCGAGGUUAACUAAGUGUUAGAUGUCCAAAGUCACCAAAAAAUAAAACAGCUUUCAAGGGCUGCCAACACCAGCAGAGCCCCAGUGGGCAUGUGUGGUUCUCUGCUUUGGAAAAUGUGUCUCAGCCAGUGAUGAAAAUCUAAACCACACAAACCACUUGGUUUCUAAGAGAACAAGUUUUGAGAAACCAUGUUUUGGAAUAAAGCCUCAAAUUUUCCAUUUCACAACAAAGUUCCCCAAAGAAGUUUUAUUUUAACAUUAUAAAGAAUACUGAGGAUAGCAGGAGUAAAGAAGGCUUAAAAUAAAGGAAAAGAAAAACCUAUUUUAAUGGUGAUGGACUUACAGAACUGGUGUGUAAAGAUGUCGUCUUGCCUAUUUAUUUCCUGUCUUACAACUCCUUUCCACAAAACCCCAACACUCCAUCUGGGUUUUCCAGUUCAAAGUUCUCCAAAAAGUUUACUUCUACAGUUUAAGUGUUGGUGCUUUAUGAAAAGUGUGGAAAACACUAGACUACAUGCUAAUGUUAAUUGAUUUUAAGCUCUCCCUGAACAUGAAUUGUGCUGCAAAAUUAGCCCGAGAGCCUUUAGACAUUCACAAGGGCCAAAGAGGGGAAAGUUAUAGAACAAAGAGUUUGGAGACAUGGAACCAUGUCACCCAUCUUACUCCAUCUAGCAGAUCUUGUGCGGCUAGCAGACCGAAGUCCUUUCCCUGUGUGAAUGAGGAUGGAACCAGGCCAGGAUUGGAGCUCUUAGCACUGCAUCUGAUCACCCUGGGCAAGUGGCUUAGCUUCCUUCUCUCAGUAUCUGUUUUGUUUUACAUCAAAUAAGUUAAUGCUUGUCUUCUACCUAAGGAGCCAUGCAAGGGAUAACAAAGAAAAGCAUGCUUAAUGAAUUACCAAGUGCUAUUCAUUCAUGAAGGGACUCUGUGACUUCCACGUGACGUUGUUUCUGUGUAUAGCAGGUGCUGUUGACACAUCACCCACAUUUCUUCAACACCAACAGUUCCCAGGGGCUCUAUUACCAGCUUCUACCUAGAAAAUGACUCUUAGCUUAAUGGCUUUUGGAAGAAACAUUAAGAGCAACCCUCAGCCAGUGAUGGACUGAUACAUUGCCCAGUAGGGUGGGACAACUUUCUGUUGGGAAUGAAUGAUUGCCUAGGCAUGAGGAUCUUGGAUAAUUUUCUACAUCAUCAACAACAGUUCAUGGGUUUCUCCAUUGCUUAAAGAAUGCCCCUUGACUGCUACAAUUAUUGUGUGAGCCUAAACUUCAAUUUUUGAUAAAGAGGAGAAACAUUUCUGGUUCUAACAAUGAAAGAGGUAGCUUCUAUUUAAAAAUAAUGUCUGAUUAUUUGUAAUAUGUUAAAACCAUCUACAUGUUUUAUUGAGUAUUUGAAAAAGAACGCAUGUCAUUGAAAAUUUUUAUUAGCAUAUUUCUUUUCUUUUUUUUUUACUAGCUAUU